CACGUGUCUCUUUCACGAGCGGCUUUGAACAGCGUGAAAAAAUAGACUGGGCAAAAAUAAUACCCGCAUGCGCUCUUGGUCGCCGUGUCGUAGUGGAGAAAUGAUUCAUUCAUUCACACAGGAGUGGCGCUUGGGAGAUUGAAAUGCACAGUUUAUGCUCUAAGUUUGUGAAAAUCAGUCAAAUUCAUAUUUGGACUUUCGCAUUUUUAAGUCAUUAGAUUACAGGGAGACUGCUGUAAUUUGUCUGGAUGUGCGUAAAAAGCUUAUUGAUAGCAUUUCUAAGAGAAUGUACCUGUGAUAUGAUAGUAAUGAUCGCAUUUUUCAUGGGUGAAGAGUUGCUGCUGUAGUUUCAGAAUAAAAGAAGCAAUCGUGUUUAGUUUUAACAACAUUUUAAAAAAAGUCAAAGUCACAUUUUCGGUUACUUUCGAUCUUCCUGUGUGCACCACGCUGUGUGUUUUUGCAUCAUAAGAAAGAAUAAAAUUAGUGUGUUCAUGUGUGCUGGACUGUCACGGUGAUCUUCCUGACCUCUGCCCUUUUGUUAAUGU